ACGGAAGGCAGCAGUGAGGAAUAUUGGUCAAUGGACGGAAGUCUGAACCAGCCAUGCCGCGUGCAGGAAUAAGGCCCUAUGGGUCGUAAACUUCUUUUGUGGUGGAGCAAUAAGGUGCACGUGUGCAUCGAUGAGAGUACAUCACGAAUAAGCAUCGGCUAACUCCGUGCCAGCAGCCGCGGUAAUACGGAGGAUGCGAGCGUUAUCCGGAUUUAUUGGGCUUAAAGGGUGCGUAGGCUGUUCUUCAAGUCAGAGGUGAAAUACCGGGGCUCAACCCUGGAACUGCCUUUGAUACUGGAGGGCUUGAAUACUGUUGCCGUGGGAGGAAUGAGUAGUGUAGCGGUGAAAUGCAUAGAUAUUACUCAGAACACCGAUUGCGAAGGCAUCUCACGAAGCAGCGAUUGACGCUGAGGCACGAAAGCGUGGGGAUCAAACAGGAUUAGAUACCCUGGUA
rnacentral:rRNA from 1 species